AUUGAACGCUGGCGGCAGGCUUAACACAUGCAAGUCGAGCGGAGCGAGGGUGCUUGCACCUUAGCUUAGCGGCGGACGGGUGAGUAAUGCCUAGGAAUCUGCCUGGUAGUGGGGGACAACGUUUCGAAAGGAACGCUAAUACCGCAUACGUCCUACGGGAGAAAGCAGGGGACCUUCGGGCCUUGCGCUAUCAGAUGAGCCUAGGUCGGAUUAGCUAGUAGGUGAGGUAAUGGCUCACCUAGGCGACGAUCCGUAACUGGUCUGAGAGGAUGAUCAGUCACACUGGAACUGAGACACGGUCCAGACUCCUACGGGAGGCAGCAGUGGGGAAUAUUGGACAAUGGGCGAAAGCCUGAUCCAGCCAUGCCGCGUGUGUGAAGAAGGUCUUCGGAGUGUAAAGCACUUUAAGUUGGGAGGAAGGGCAGUAAGUUAAUACCUUGCUGUUUUGACGUUACCGACAGAAUAAGCACCGGCUAACUCUGUGCCAGCAGCCGCCGUAA
rnacentral:rRNA from 1 species